rnacentral:rRNA from 1 species
GUCGAGCGGACAGAUGGGAGCUUGCUCCCUGAUGUUAGCGGCGGACGGGUGAGUAACACGUGGGUAACCUGCCUGUAAGACUGGGAUAACUCCGGGAAACCGGGGCUAAUACCGGAUGGUUGUUUGAACCGCAUGGUUCAGACAUAAAAGGUGGCUUCGGCUACCACUUACAGAUGGACCCGCGGCGCAUUAGCUAGUUGGUGAGGUAACGGCUCACCAAGGCGACGAUGCGUAGCCGACCUGAGAGGGUGAUCGGCCACACUGGGACUGAGACACGGCCCAGACUCCUACGGGAGGCAGCAGUAGGGAAUCUUCCGCAAUGGACGAAAGUCUGACGGAGCAACGCCGCGUGAGUGAUGAAGGUUUUCGGAUCGUAAAGCUCUGUUGUUAGGGAAGAACAAGUGCCGUUCAAAUAGGGCGGCACCUUGACGGUACCUAACCAGAAAGCCACGGCUAACUACGUGCCAGCAGCCGCGGUAAUACGUAGGUGGCAAGCGUUGUCCGGAAUUAUUGGGCGUAAAGGGCUCGCAGGCGGUUUCUUAAGUCUGAUGUGAAAGCCCCCGGCUCAACCGGGGAGGGUCAUUGGAAACUGGGGAACUUGAGUGCAGAAGAGGAGAGUGGAAUUCCACGUGUAGCGGUGAAAUGCGUAAAGAUGUGGAGGAACACCAGUGGCGAAGGCGACUCUCUGGUCUGUAACUGACACU